GUCCUUUAAUUGGGGACUUGUAUGAAUGGUCUGAUGAGGGAUUAUCUUUCUUUAUCUUAUAUAUAUAAACUUAAUCUAUAAGUUAAAAAGCUUAUAUUAUUUUAAAUGACGAGAAGACCCUAUAGAGCUUUACUGUUAUAUAAAUAUACUAUCAAUAUAUAUAUUAUUAAACAUAUAGUUAUUUAUAAUAGUUUUGUUGGGGUGACAAUUAAAUUUAUUUAACUUUAGUUUAACUUAACUCAUUGAUUAAUGAUUGUUGUUGAUCCUAUACUAUAGAUUAUAAGAAUAAGUUACCUUAGGGAUAACAGCGUAAUUCUAUUAGAGAGUUCAUAUUAAUAAUAGAGUUUGCGACCUCGAUGUUGGAUUAA
rnacentral:rRNA from 1 species